rnacentral:rRNA from 1 species
GGGCCCGCACAAGCGGUGGAGUAUGUGGUUUAAUUCGAUGCAACGCGAAGAACCUUACCAGGGCUUGACAUCCUGCGAACCUCUGGGAAACCGGAGGGUGCCUUCGGGAACGCAGUGACAGGUGGUGCAUGGCUGUCGUCAGCUCGUGUCGUGAGAUGUUGGGUUAAGUCCCGCAACGAGCGCAACCCACGUCUUUAGUUGCCAGCAUUUAGUUGGGCACUCUAGAGAGACCGCCGGUGACAAACCGGAGGAAGGUGUGGAUGACGUCAAGUCAUCAUGCCCCUUACGUCCUGGGCUACACACGUACUACAAUGCUACGGACAAAGAGCAGCUAACUCGCGAGAGUACGCAAAUCUCAUAAACCGUGGCUCAGUUCAGAUCGUAGGCUGCAACUCGCCUACAUGAAGUUGGAAUCGCUAGUAAUCGC